rnacentral:lncRNA from 1 species
CCGAGGACCCCCCCAGUUGCAGCCAUGUCAAGACUGAUGCUGAGGAGGACCCCAACUGUCACGAGCAACACCCGUCAAACACAGCCAUCCACCUGAGGUCAGAUCAAGAAGCUGUCACAGAUGGCAGAAGAAAACCUGAGGAAUGGUCUGGAACACGGACCUGGUGGAGACCCUGGAGCUGCAGAACCUGAUGCUGUGUGCGCUGCAGACCAUCUACGGAGCAGAGGCGCGGAAGGAGUCACGGGGCACGCACGCCAGGGAAGGCUACAAGGUGCAGAUUGAUGAGUACGAUUACUCCAAGCCCAUCCAGGGGCAACAGAAGAAGCCCUUUGAGGAGCACUGGAGGAAGCACACCCUGUCCUAUGUGGACGUUGGCACUGGGAAGACCCGUAAUCGACAAAACUUUGAACGAGGCUGACUGUGCCACCGUCCCCCCAGCCAUUCGCUCCUACUGAUGAGACAAGAUGCGGUGAUGACAGAAUCAGCUUUUGUAAUUAUGUAUAAUAGCUCAUGCAUGUGUCCAUGUCAUAACUGUCUUCAUACGCUUCUGCACUCCGGGGAAGAAGGAGUACAUUGAAGGGAGAUUGGCACCCAGGCUGGGAGCUUGCCAGGAACCCAGUGGCCAGGGAGCGUGGCACUUACCUUUGUCCCUUGCUUCAUUCUUGUGAGAUGAUAAAACUGGGCACAGCUCUUAAAU